rnacentral:rRNA from 1 species
AUUCCGGUUGAUCCUGCCGGAGGUCAUUGCUAUUGGAGUCCGAUUUAGCCAUGCUAGUCGCACGAGUUCAGACUCGUGGCAGAUAGCUCAGUAACACGUGGCCAAACUACCCUAUAGAUCCGGCCAACCUCGGGAAACUGAGGCUAAUCCGGGAUAACGCUUUCAGCCUGGAGUGGCGAGAGCGUGAAACGUCCCGGCGCUAUAGGAUGUGGCUGCGGCCGAUUAGGUAGACGGUGGGGUAACGGCCCACCGUGCCAGUAAUCGGUACGGGUUGUGAGAGCAAGAGCCCGGAGACGGUAUCUGAGACAAGAUACCGGGCCCUACGGGGCGCAGCAGGCGCGAAACCUUUACACUGCACGCGAGUGCGAUAAGGGGACUCCAGGUGCGAGGGCAUAUAGUCCUCGCUUUUCUCGACCGUAGGGAGGUCGAGGAACAAGUGCUGGGCAAGACCGGUGCCAGCCGCCGCGGUAAUACCGGCAGCACAAGUGAUGACCGCUGUUAUUGGGCCUAAAGCGUCCGUAGCUGGCCAGACAAGUUCAUCGGGAAAUCUGUGCGCCUAACGCACAGGCGUCCGGUGGAAACUGCCUGGCUUGGGACCGGAAGACCAGAGGGGUACGUCUGGGGUAGGAGUGAAAUCCCGUAAUCCUGGACGGACCACCGGUGGCGAAAGCGCCUCUGGAAGACGGAUCCGACGGUGAGGGACGAAAGCUCGGGUCACGAACCGGAUUAGAUACCCGGGUAGUCCGAGCUGUAAACGAUGUCUGCUAGGUGUGACACAGGCUACGAGCCUGUGUUGUGCCGUAGGAAGCCGUGAAGCAGACCGCCUGGGAAGUACGUCCGCAAGGAUGAAACUUAAAGGAAUUGGCGGGGGAGCACUACAACCGGAGGAGCCUGCGGUUUAAUUGGACUCAACGCCGGACAUCUCACCAGCAUCGACAGUGUGCAGUGACGGUCAGUGUGAUGAGCUUACCUGAGCCACUGAGAGGAGGUGCAUGGCCGCCGUCAGCUCGUACCGUGAGGCGUCCUGUUAAGUCAGGCAACGAGCGAGACCCGCACCCUUAAUUGCCAGCAACACCCUUGUGGUGGUUGGGUACAUUAAGAGGACUGCCAGUGCCAAACUGGAGGAAGGAACGGGCAACGGUAGGUCAGUAUGCCCCGAAUGUGCUGGGCGACACGCGGGCUACAAUGGUCGAGACAGUGGGAUGCAACGCCGAAAGGCGACGCUAAUCUCCGAAACUCGAUCGUAGUUCGGAUUGAGGGCUGAAACUCGCCCUCAUGAAGCUGGAUUCGGUAGUAAUCGCGCCUCAGAAGGGCGCGGUGAAUACGUCCCUGCUCCUUGCACACACCGCCCGUCAAAGCACCCGAGUGGGGUCCGGAUGAGGCCCGGUUUCCGGGUCGAAUCUGGGUCCGCAAGGGGGCUUAAGUCGUAACAAGGUAGCCGUAGGGGAAUCUGCGGCUGGAUCACCUCCU